rnacentral:rRNA from 1 species
UAAUACGGAGGGUGCAAGCGUUAUCCGGAUUCACUGGGUUUAAAGGGUGCGUAGGCGGGUUGGUAAGUCAGUGGUGAAAUCUUCAAGCUUAACUUGGAAACUGCCGUUGAUACUAUCAAUCUUGAAUAUUGUGGAGGUAAGCGGAAUAUGUCAUGUAGCGGUGAAAUGCUUAGAUAUGACAUAGAACACCGAUAGCGAAGGCAGCUUGCUACACAAUAAUUGACGCUGAGGCACGAAAGCGUGGGGAUCAAACAGGAUUAGAUACCCUGGUAGUCCACGCCCUAAACGAUGGAUACUCGACAUACGCGAUACACAGUGUGUGUCUGAGCGAAAGCAUUAAGUAUCCCACCUGGGAAGUACGACCGCAAGGUUG